AGAGCAUCAACUCCUACAAGAACUACCACUCAACGACCAUCAACUCCCACAAGGGGUACUACUCCUCCUCAACGACCAUCGACACCUACAAGAACUACUACUGUUCAACGAUCAUCGACACCUACAAGAACCACUACUACUGCUCAACGAUCAUCGACACCGACGAGACCCUCUUUACCAUCAUCAAGGUCAUCAUCAAGACCCUCGACUCCAACCCGCCGCUCCUCUGCUCCACUAUCAAGUUCACAAAUUAUGUCUUCUGCACCUGGUAGUAGAUCCUCCUCCGUGACAAGAUCAGCUCCAG
rnacentral:lncRNA from 1 species